CCCCUCAUAGCCUGGUUCUUCUCUCGGUUUCUUCCUAGGUUCUGGCCUUUCUAGGGAGUUUUUCCUAGCCACCGUGCUUCUACACCUGCAUUGUUUGGGGUUUUAGGCUGGGUUUCUGUACAACACUUGGUGACAUCAGCUGAUGUAAAUACAUUUGAUUGAUUGAAGAUUCGGUUCAUGAGUUAAAGGUUUCACUGAGUGUGCCUCAAAUACCACUUUUAGUGUGUAAGUGAUUGUAUAAAACUGUAAAGUACUGUAAUCCAGUGUAUUGUGCCUCACCAUAUUGACUGCUCUUGGUCUAUGUCACAUAUAGUCUUUGUCUGUUUCAGAGAGUCUUGGAGCUGGAUGCCGCUGCAAUUCAGCACGUUUAUAUUUACAUUGAUGAGGCUGGCUUCAGCCUAGCCAAAAGAAAGGGAAGGGGACGGAACAUUAUUGGCCACCGUGUCAUUGUGAAUGUCCCUGUACAGCAUGGAGGGAAUAUCGCCAUGUGCGCAGCCGUUAGCCAGCAAGGCGUCCUCCAUCACCAUGCCAACCUUGGUCCCUACCACACUGCCCUUCUCAUCACAUUCCUGGACACACUACAUGGCAUCCUCAUUCUAGCCGAGCAGAGGGUGGACCAGAACAGUCCAGCAUGGCGAUGGAAGGUGUAUGACCGCCAUCCCCUCGCACGCAUGCCUCUUCUCCAGGCAAAGGAAGAUGCAUGCGGUGAAGUGGAUGUGGGGGCUUUCGGCGGCUGGAUCAGUCACUCCGGAAGAUUCUUUCACUGCUGUUUAGCCAGAUAGAACAUGGCUUGUGAUGUAGAUGAGGUGCUGUUUAGCCAGAUAGAACAUGGCUUGGGAUGUAGAUGAGCUGCUGUUUAGCCAGAUAGAACAUGGCUUGGGAUGUAGAUGAGGUGCUGUUUAGCCAGAUAGAACAUGGCUUGUGAUGUAGAUGAGGUGCUGUUUAGCCAGAUAGAACAUGGCUUGUGAUGUAGAUGAGGUGCUGUGGCCAGAACAAAAUAGGAGGCAGGAUGCAGCCUAAUGUCUUUUUUCUUACAUUUUGCGUGUGUUUUUGUCUCCUUGUUAGAGUUUUGAAAGAAUGAGCCACUUUCAUUUUGUAUUUUUGUACAGAAAACCCUUUAUCUUACUGAAUAUUUUUCCUGGUUUUCUCCUGUUUGGUAUCGAAAGUGUUACAUAUACAGCAUUUGAGAAAUAAAUUACAAUGUUUUUGUU